rnacentral:tRNA from 3 species
GGGCGCAUAGCUCAGCUGGGAGAGCAUCUGCCUUACAAGCAGGAGGUCAUAGGUUCGAUCCCUAUUGCGCCCACCA